rnacentral:rRNA from 1 species
UACGUAGGGGGCUAGCGUUGUCCGGAAUCAUUGGGCGUAAAGCGCGUGUAGGCGGUUCGGUAAGUCCGCUGUGAAAGUCGGGGGCUCAACCCUCGGAUGCCGGUGGAUACUGUCGGACUAGAGUGCGGAAGAGGCGAGUGGAAUUCCUGGUGUAGCGGUGAAAUGCGCAGAUAUCAGGAGGAACACCGAGUGCGAAGGCAGCUCGCUGGGACGUUACUGACGCUGAGACGCGAAAGCGUGGGGAGCAAACAGG